GGCUCAGAACGAACGCGGGCGGCGUGCUUAACACAUGCAAGUCGAACGAGAAAUCCCGGGCAACUGGGAGAGUAAAGUGGCGCACGGGUGAAUAACGCGUGGGUAACCUGCCCUUAAAUUGGGGAUAACUCCGCGAAAGCGGGGCUAAUACCGAAUAAUAUUCCAUUUUCUCCGGGAGAUGGAAUCAAAGAUGGCCUCUGCAUGCAAGCUAUCGUUUUAGGAAGGGCCCGCGUACCAUUAGCUUGUUGGUAGGGUAACGGCCUACCAAGGCAACGAUGGUUAGCUGGUCUGAGAGGAUGGCCAGCCACACUGGAACUGAGACACGGUCCAGACUCCUACGGGAGGCAGCAGUGGGGAAUCUUGCGCAAUGGGGGAAACCCUGACGCAGCAACGCCGCGUGGGUGAUGAAGGCCUUCGGGUCGUAAAGCCCUGUCAGGUGGAAAGAACAGUGGCGAUGUGAACAACAUCGCCAUCUGACGGUACCACCAGAGGAAGCACCGGCUAACUCCGUGCCAGCAGCCGCGGUAAUACGGAGGGUGCAAGCGUUGUUCGGAAUUAUUGGGCGUAAAGCGCGUGUAGGCGGUCGGGUAAGUCAGAUGUGAAAGCCUUCCGCUUAACGGAAGAAGUGCAUUUGAAACUGCUCGGCUUGAGUACGGGAGAGGAGAGUGGAAUUCCCGGUGUAGAGGUGAAAUUCGUAGAUAUCGGGAGGAACACCGGUGGCGAAGGCGGCUCUCUGGUCCGAUACUGACGCUGAGACGCGAAAGCGUGGGGAGCAAACAGGAUUAGAUACCCUGGUAGUCCACGCUGUAAACGAUGGGCACUAGGUGUAGGAGGUAUUGACCCCUUCUGUGCCGAAGCUAACGCAUUAAGUGCCCCGCCUGGGGAGUACG
rnacentral:rRNA from 1 species